GAGGUGAAGGGGCGGAGCUCUCUCUCAGUUCUCUGUAAUGAAUGUGAAAGUGAAAGUAGCCAUUACACUUCUUGCUGUAACAGACUAAAACAGGAGGAAUAUAUUUGUGCGUGUAGACAGGGGGAAGAUUUUACACAUGGUGUUUAAACUGUAAUGAGGUCAAAAUACUGAAUAUGAGCCGCUCUGAAAUGUGGACACACUUCAGCUAAAGCAGCAGAUUUGUUUAUAUCUGAGGAACAGAAAAGGAUUUUAUUAGUUUGAACCUACAGAAAGAGAUAAAGAUGGCGGCUGCACGCAAUGAGUUUAGACUCAUUCAUCCCAGUGGUACAGAGUGGUAUAAUUCCUCUGCUGUCACUCUCUCGUGUCGUCUGUACCCUGAAAUCAGUGCUGUUAACAUGGAGAUCCGGUGGUUUAAGGGGACACGCUGUGUUUGUGUCUAUAAGAACGGACAUGUGACAGAGGGGAGAGGUUACGAGGGCACAGUGAGUCUGUUCACUCAGGAGAUGGUGAGAGGAAACGUCUCCUUACAGCUGAGAGACUGUAGAGAGUCAGAUUUCGGAUAUUACCUGUGUCAGGUCACUGAUGGAGACAGAACAGAGGAGAUUACAGUACAGAUGAUGUGUAAGUGUUCCUGAUCUCCACACUGCAUAAACUCAACAUCAUAAUCUGUGCUUCUCAUCUCAGUACAUGAAACACACACUCAGUAUUCAGUAUGAGGUUCAGUAUACACGGUGCUAAUGUGGAGUGAAGUUCAUUUUAGUUGAAUAAACAGUACGUCUGUUUUCACUCUGCUACACACCUGCACAAGGGCCUAAACGCAGCAGCUUGUACAAAUAUGAAUUAAAUCGUGAUUCAUCAUUUCAGUAAGUUUGUUUAUCUACUAAUCAGAGAUGGGCUCGAUAUCAGUUUAAACUGAAACAAUCAGAGACAUUUCUCCAUCAGAGAGGAAAUUAUCUGUUGUUAUGUUUUAUAAAAACAUUAAAAUUGUAGCUGAACAUCUUUGUACUGAAAGCACAGAGUGAAGAUUGUUUAGCAGCGAUUCUGACUGUAAAUCAUAAGUUUUUCUCUCUGUAUUUUAUCUAACAUUACGUUUCUCUCUGUUGUUUUACACGACACCUUCAGUACUGGUAAGUAAAUAACUCGACUUCACACUAACGGUAGCGGCUGAUGUUUUAUCAACUUAUAUAUUAGCACAAUGCUACAUUCUACAGAUUUACUGUGUGUGAUGACUGAUUGUUGUCUAGUUUUCCUCUUUUUUAUUAAGACACACAUCAGCUGUGUUUUAACCAGAGUAACAGUUACUUUCACAUUUUCACAUGGAACAAUUCACAUUUGACUUCAUGCAUAAAAUCUUCACACUGUAUUAUUUACUUUCACAGGAGGCAGAAUUAGGUGAGUAUAAACACUUUUCUGUGAUGGUGAUGUGUUGAUGCUGCAUGAAUAAUAUAUUUAUUGUGCAGAUGAAAUAGAUUAGACUGUGCUGUGUGUUCAGAGUGCAAUAGCACAUAGAUAUAUGAGCAUCAUGAGCAUAGUGUAGUGAACACCACAGACUGUGAUCGCUGCAGAACGUCCAUCACGCUGGAGUCUAGUUUGUCAUUAGUGUUAUACAGACACAGAAAUCUGACCUACACACUGAUACUGAGAGCUAAAAAGCUGAAGGUGUCUUUACAAAAGACACACACACUCAUUAGUGACCAAUCUGAUGUAAUGGAGCUAAUAAUCAGAGACGGGCUCGAUAUCAGUUUAAACUGAAACAAUCAGAGACAUUUCUCCAUCAGAGAGGAAAUUAAACUACACACUAAAUGUGUCCUUUAGAUUGUUACAGUUACUGGACAUCCAGUAGAACAGACUAGAUCAUUUAUCUCAUUUAUACAACUGAGCAAUUCAGGGUUAAGGGCCUUGCUCAAGGGCCCAACAGUAGUAGCUUGGUAAUGCUCGGGCUUGAACUCCUGAGCUUCUGAUCAAUAACUCAGAGCC